rnacentral:rRNA from 1 species
CUUUAUAGGCCAUACCACCCUGAACACACCUAAUCUCGUUUGAUCUUGGAAGCUAAGCAGACUCAGGUCUGGUUAGUACUUGGAUGAGAAACCACCUAGGAAGAUCGGGUGCUGUAGGUG